rnacentral:rRNA from 1 species
UACGGAGGGAGCUAGCGUUGUUCGGAAAUACUGGGCGUAAAGCGCACGUAGGCGGCGCCGCAAGUCAGGGGUGAAAUCCCGGGGCUCAACCCCGGAACUGCCUCUGAAACUGCAGUGCUAGAAUCUUGGAGAGGUCAGUGGAAUUCCGAGUGUAGAGGUGAAAUUCGUAGAUAUUCGGAAGAACACCAGUGGCGAAGGCGACUGACUGGACAAGUAUUGACGCUGAGGUGCGAAAGCGUGGGGAGCGAACAGG